rnacentral:rRNA from 1 species
UUCUUGCAAUCAAUAAGAAGUAAUUCCUGCCCAGUGAUAUUAUUCAACGGCCGCGGUAUCCUAACCGUGCAAAGGUAGCAUAAUCACUUGCCCAUUAAUUGUGGGCUAGAAUGAACGGACCAACGAAAUAAAAACUGUCUCUAUAAGCCCCAUAAAAAUUAAUCUCUAACUGAAGAGUGUUAGAUUAAAUCGAAGGACAAGAAGACCCUAUAGAGCUUAAUUUUAAUAAAGACUUAAACUUUAAUAAAAUUCGGUUGGGGCGACCAGGGAAAACUAAUCAUCCCUUAUUAAAAGAUAAAUAAAUCUAAAUACUGACCCUUAGCAAAGAUCACAAGAACAAGCUACCUUAGGGAUAACAGGCUAAUCCUAUUAAAGAGUCCUUAUCAAUAAUGGGGAUUGGCACCUCGAUGUUGGCUUAGGGAAUCUAUGUGGCGCAAAAGUCACAU